AGCUUGUUUAGGCCACACAACGGUUUGAUACGCCAAUGGCCCUUGUGAUUUUGAAUCGUGAUUACUUUGAAAGAGUUUGGUACAAGACACAAAUGUUCAAGGUAGUAAGGUGUGGAUAUCGUCCUACUUAAUUCAUCCGCGAACAAUGCUCUACGGGAUCGGUAUCAUCGUCGGGAUUAUCAUCACCAUCAUAAUUAUUCAUGGACCGUCAUCAUAAUCAUUUUCAUUGCAUCUUCAUCAUCGCCAUCACCACCACCACCACCAUCAUCAACAAUAUUGAACCCUUCAAAUAUUCGAGACUUUUUGCUCUUACAUUUUUAUUGAUUAUUUGGUGAUGAGAUAAUCGAAUCGUGACUAAUUGAGAGAAAAUGAGAAAUUCUGAUUUCCAAUAUUCCUUAAAAGAGGUCACUCAUAACUUGAUGAUCGAUGUUCGUCAGAAACCACGCCAUUCAUCAUCAUCAUCAGCGCAUCAUUCUACUUUCACGAAACAGAUAUCAUUUCAUAUUACAAAAUUGGUAAAAUUGGCGUUAUGCCAAAAGCAUAAAAUUUGAAAACAAUUUAAACAACAAUCAGGUACACUUUAAUUAUUUUAAUAAGUUAUUAUUUUCUUAUUAAUAUUAAGGUCAAAUUAGCAAAUUGGUCCUUGGUCAGAUUAUGCUUAAAAUUGGUUCAAUUAUUAUCAACUCAAGUUAUCUCAUUAUUGUAAAAAAAAAAAGUUUCGCCAUGUUUCGUAAAGAGAACAUUAUAUCAGUGUGUUUUUAAAUUUGGAUAUCUUCCUGUCAGAAUACAUGUGCCAUUUUAAACGUUUAACUAUUUAUGUAUAACCAGUGCAAUACUUCACCAUACACGUAUAUGCAUAUAUUAUAGUUAUACCGAAUUUUAGAUUAGCAUGAAGACAUUAUUUUAGAUAAGAUGUAGUUGUAAAUAUUGUUCAUAUGUAUAUUAAACAAAGUUCUGAAAUUAGGGCAAAGAUGACAUCAUCGAUUCUCAGUCUAUUAGAAUUGGAAGUCAAAAGGUGGAUUGUAACAUUUAGAUACAUCCUUAGUGUUUUUAGUUUGAUCGCGAAAACCGAAUUCGGUGCCCUAUUUACCGAGUGAAUGCUUCAUGCGUCUGUCAGGGAUGACGCCGCAGUAUAUACAGGGGGAUAUGGGGCGCGGGAUAGUUAAGACACCUACCCCCUUCAAAAUAUCCUUGCGCCGCCCAGGUGCGCCCCAGUUUUAACAAGAUUUUUAAUUGGAAUUUUAAUAUAUAAACGUCACAGUUUAAAAAAAAAUAAUCAUUUUCACGCUGCCCUUUGAUUAAAACUAAUCUGCUCGGAAGGGUCCAUUGUUUUACUGAUGAUAUACAUAUGGAAGACAGAAAUCAGUAUUUUCAAAAUGAUGCUUUCAUUAUAUCUAUGUAUUUUUGUGAAGCUAAUGGAAAUCUAUUUUAGUGUAUGAUAUUCCUUUCAUUUUUUUUUAGACUUUUCUUUCCGAGUUCAGUUGAAUAUCAUAUACUUGAACUCAUCUGCUUGAAACACUUUGUUGCACACCUUUACUGUCCAUGCACUCUUAUCUAUUCGAUUUAAUUUUAUUGAAUUUAUGUAUAAAAAAAACUAUGAUUAUAGGCCUAAGUACGUGAAGAAAACUUGUGAUAUCUUAUUGUAAAAAGAUGUUGACGUCAUAAUGUACUCCAUUAGCAUAAGAUACUAACGACUUGGUCUGAAUGGUUCCUUCCAUGAUAUGUAUAUUGUCUAUUACAUGAACAGAGUAAUAAUAAGCCAAUGUAUGCAUUUUUGGUGAUGUCUCAUCUAAAUAGCUAUGGUAUGAAUAUUAUAGUGGUUUAUAGUGGUUUAUAGUUGCGUUAGAUGAGUAUUUUGUGUGUCAUUUUUCUGCGCGCCAUUUUUUUGACAGUUAGUACUUAGAAUGAAUCUUUUUUAUUUUUGAUCUGACAACAUAUAGUGAAAUAAAUAGAACUCGUAAAUUGAAAUGAUAAAGUCACUCUUGUUUCGAUGUACUCAUUUAAUAUUGUUUAUAUCUUAGCCAUAUAUACGUAAUUACUAUAUUGGUGUCUUAUCAAAUCUUAAAUCACACCUAAAUAGACCCAAAAUUGAUUUGAUUUCUCCCCACAUCAAGAUACCCAGAUAAAUAAUAAAAAAAUAUAUCUGUAAUAAAAUAUAUCAUAUACAUAAAUAAAUAUUUUGUGUUAAUGAUAAUGUACAUACCUGACUUGACAUAAAUUAUGUAUGUGAAAGUAAUUCUAUCGAUUUAGUUGUGAUUAUGGUUGUGGAGAAAGAUGAAAUUUGAUUCGCCUAUCUUAUCUAUCAUUUUUUGUAAAUAACAAUCCCAUUACUUGGCCAUUAUGAUGUAUGAUUAUCAAAUCAAUUUUAAGUAGAAUAUCGACUUGUAAAUUCUUAAGUACGGUAUAUCUGUUCGUCAAUGAAUUAAUCAUGUUAUUGUUGACUUGAAUAAAAUCUUGGAAAAAUA